rnacentral:misc_RNA from 1 species
GAUGAAGAACGCAGCGAAAUGCGAUAAGUAGUGUGAAUUGCAGAAUUCAGUGAAUCAUCGAAUCUUUGAACGCACAUUGCGCCCUUUGGUAUUCCUUAGGGCAUGCCUGUUCGAGCGUCAUUUAAACCUUCAAGCUCAGCUUGGUGUUGGGUGACUGUCCGCCGCCUCCGGGCGCGUGGACUCGCCUCAAAAUUAUUGGCGGCCGGUACAUUGGCUUCGAGCGCAGCAGAAACGCGAACUCGGGCCCGUCGUAUUGGCUCCCAGAAGCUAUCUUCACAAUUUGACCUCGGAUCAGGUAGGGAUACCCGCUGAACUUAAGCAUAUCAAUAAGCGGAGGA